rnacentral:rRNA from 1 species
AGAUUGAACGCUGGCGGCAGGCCUAACACAUGCAAGUCGAGCGGUAGAGAGGUGCUUGCACCUCUUGAGAGCGGCGGACGGGUGAGUAAUGCCUAGGAAUCUGCCUGGUAGUGGGGGAUAACGUUCGGAAACGGACGCUAAUACCGCAUACGUCCUACGGGAGAAAGCAGGGGACCUUCGGGCCUUGCGCUAUCAGAUGAGCCUAGGUCGGAUUAGCUAGUUGGUGGGUAAUGGCUCACCAAGGCGACGAUCCGUAACUGGUCUGAGAGGAUGAUCAGUCACACUGGAACUGAGACACGGUCCAGACUCUACGGGAGGCAGCAGUGGGAAUAUUGGACAAUGGGCGAAAGCCUGAUCCAGCCAUGCCGCGUGUGUGAAGAAGGUCUUCGGAUUGUAAAGCACUUUAAGUUGGAGGAAGGCAGUUACCUAAUACGUGAUUGUCUUGACGUUACCGACAGAAUAAGCACGGCUAACGUCUGU